UACGGGGGGAGCAAACGUUGUUCGGAAUCACUGGGCGUAAAGAGCUCGUAGGCGGUCUGUCGCGUCGGCUGUGAAAUCCCGAGGCUCAACCUCGGGUCUGCAGUCGAUACGGGCAAACUAGAGUAUUGCAGGGGAGACUGGAAUUCCUGGUGUAGCGGUGAAAUGCGCAGAUAUCAGGAGGAACACCGGUGGCGAAGGCGGGUCUCUGGGCAAUAACUGACGCUGAGGAGCGAAAGCGUGGGGAGCGAACAGG
rnacentral:rRNA from 1 species